CCCUUAGAUGUUCUGGGCCGCACGCGCGCUACACUGAUGCAUUCAACGAGUUUCUUCCUGGUCCGAGAGGAAUGGGUAACCUUUUGAAAGUGCAUCGUGAUAGGGAUAGACUAUUGCAAUUAUUGGUCUUCAACGAGGAAUUCCUAGUAGACGUAGUUCAUCAGACUGCAUCGAUUACGUCCCUGCCCUUUGUACACACCGCCCGUCGCUCCUACCGAUUGAAUGCUCAGGUGAGCCAUUCGGACCUUCAUCAUGCCGGUUUCCGGUUUUGAUGAGAGAAAGUCUUGCGAACCUUAUCAUUUAGAGGAAGGAGAAGUCGUAACA
rnacentral:rRNA from 1 species